rnacentral:lncRNA from 1 species
CUCAAAGCCGGGACCUGGAGGUAGGAACUGAUGCAGAGACCAUGAAAGAGCGCUGUUUACUGGCUUGCUUUCUUACAUAGCCCCAAGCUUACCUGUCUAGACACAGUGCUGCCCCUAGGGGCUGGACCUUCUGACAUCAAUUAUCAAUUAAGAAAAUGUUCCACAGACAUGCUCACAGGCCAAUCUGAUGGAUACAGUUUUUCAAUGGAGAUUCUCUCUUCCCAGGUAUGUCAAGUUGACAGUCAAGAUUAACCACCAUACCUUCCUAGAAACAUUCACUUUCUUUUGAGGUGAAGCUGCUUCUUGUUGAUCGGAUCUGGCCAGCUGUAUUACCCUGCGCAGGUCUCCAUCACAAUAUACCACACUCUGUCAGUUUCAUGGAGACAACAAAGCAGCAGGAGCCACUUGUGGCUGUGACAUCAGGAACUUGAAACUGUGAGCUCUCAUCUCCAGGCCAGGAAGCCCCACAGAGACCCACUUCCUCCAGCAAGAUCUGAUCCCUCAAGGUUCCACAGCCUCCCUGAAACAGCAGCACCACCUGAAGAGUGGGUGUUUAGACCUGGGAGUCACAUUAUAAUAGUCACAGAAAAAUGCUGGGCGAGAGGCACAAGCACAUUUGCCUAUAGAAGCAUUUCCCUAUGACAGUUGUCCCCAUUUCCCUUCUUACACAUGGGACUGCACUGAGACAGGAGUGUCAUUAAUGCCAAACAACCUCAUCAUUUAGAAGGUCAGCACAAAAUCAGGUUGUCCCAGCUACAAGAGGAGGACAAGAAAAUAAAGAUCACCUAGUUCCUGACAAAGGAAGCAGUCACCCUUCCAGGCACCUCUUGAGAACCUUGUCACAUCCUUUACCAUUUAACAGCAGGAUAUUAUCCAAAGAAGCCAGAAGAGGACAUCAGAUGCCCUGGAACUGGAGCCACCCUGUGGUGCUACGAGCCAAACCUGGGUCCUCUCCAAAGCACUGGUCUUUCAGGAUGUUGAAGACCUCUCUGGAUCCCCAGGACUUCAAAUAUGAAGAUACAUGAUUGAAUUCUUUUUUCUCACUCAGCAAGGUGCCACAUCCUGAAGGGUCCCCAUCAACUGGAGAAGCAUGCAAGCUUUCUUCUUACCUUGCAAGAUGUUCCUACAUGUUCAUGGGGGGAAGUUCUUGUCUUGUUGCAGUUCCUGCUCAAGUCAUUAUAUCAACAUUACUUCAUUUUAACCUAUUAGGUAAUUUAUUUUUGGCCUCAAAUCCAAUUACUACAAAGGUGUUGAGGCAUCUCACCCAAAUAUUUGCGUCUUUAACUUUCUGAGAGAAAGUAUUGGGCUUCCCUUUUUUUCUGAGCAUAAUUGCUGUUCCAUAACCACUUCUGAUUAGAAAGGAGGGGAGAGAAAACACAUGCGAUGGAGCUCUGGUACUAUGGAGGUCACAAGAUAUUUUAGGGAAGACUAAAAGUUGGAGAGAUAAAGAUAACAAUAAAAAAUGUGUUUCUAAUUUAA